UACGUAGGGACCAAGCGUUGUUCGGAUUUACUGGGCGUAAAGGGCGCGUAGGCGGCCACCGCAAGUCGACUGUGAAAUCUCCGGGCUUAACCCGGAAAGGUCAGCCGAUACUGCGGGGGCUAGAGUGCAGAAGGGGCAACUGGAAUUCUCGGUGUAGCGGUGAAAUGCGUAGAUAUCGAGAGGAACACCAGUGGCGAAGGCGAGUCUCUGGACAUUUCCUGACGCUGAGGCACGAAAGCCAGGGGAGCAAACGGG
rnacentral:rRNA from 1 species